GAAGAUCAAGAGGCAGUGAUGUGUCAUUAUGAUCUCCAUUUCAUACACAAAGAACGGAGCUUCACAGUGGUUAAGUAACUUGGCUGAACUUACACCAGCAUGAAGAUUCAAAUUCCAGUCCAAAACUUAUGGAAAUAUCUAUUAGAGAAGCCUGUAUUAGUUCUCUACCAGAUAUAUUUUCCUAGAUUCAGAAAAGCCUGAAUUUGCAAAAAGUUUGUUUCGAUCAUCAUAGGCAAGGUGAAAUAGAAAGUCGAAGAAAUCAUCUCGGUCAUUACGAGUCCUCAAGUAGUUGCUUUUUGUACUUUGAAUAAAGACUUUAGUCAUAGUAGGAGAGAUAGACUGUAAUGGACUUACUUCACGAUGGCUGCACCAGAGGUUCCAAGAACGAUGGCUUUCAACUUCAACCCACAUCUAAAACACACCACUGUAGCCACACCCUACACCCUGUGGUUAUCCAGUUGUGAGUCCUAUUGGAGAGAUGAGAUUUAACUAGAUGACCAUGACCAUGAAGAACUUCUCAAGCUCUUUGGUUCUACAGGUGUAUGACAGUUUCCUGGAGGGGGUCAUAUGGAUCUACUACUACCUUCCCACUGACAUUAGGCAGAUGUUCAUUAGAUUGGUUUGAUAGAUGUAAUGGUUAAUAUUGAGUGUCAACUUGAUUGGAUUGAAGGAUGCAAAGUAUUGUUCCUGGGUGCGUCUGUGAGGGUGUUGCCAAAGGAGAUUAACAUUUGAAUCAUUGGACUGGGAGAGGCAGACCCACCCUCAAUCUGGGUGGGCACAAUCUAAUCAGCUGCCAGCAUGGCCAGCAUAAAAGCAGGCAGAAGAAUGUGGAAGGAGUAGACUGGCUCAGUCUCCUGGCCUACAUCUUUCUCCCACGCUGCAUGCUUCCUGCCCUCGAACAUUGGACUCCAAGUUCUUCAGUUUUGGGACUCUUGAACCUUUGACCACAGACUGAAGGCUACACUGUUGACUUCCCUACUUUUGAGCUUUUAGGACUCGGACUGGCUUCCUUGUUCCUCAGCUUGCAGACGGCCUAUUGUGGGACCUCACUUUGUGAUCAUGUGAGUCAAUACUCCUUAAUAAACUCUCCUUUAAAUAUA